CAGCAGCCGCGGGAAAACGUAGGGUGCAAGCGUUAAUCGGAAUUACUGGGCGUAAAGCGUGCGCAGGCGGUUUGUUAAGACAGAUGUGAAGUCCCCGGGCUCAACCUGGGAACUGCAUCUUAUACUGCGUAGCUGGAGUGCAGUAGAGGGUAGUGGAAUUUCCGGUGUAGCGGUGAAAUGCGUAGAUAUCGGAAGGAACACCAGUGGCGAAGGCGGCUACCUGGACUGACACUGACACUGAGGCGCGAAAGCGUGGGGAGCAAACAGGAUUAGAUACCCGUGUAGUCCCUGUCUCUUAUAC
rnacentral:rRNA from 1 species